AUUGAACGCUGGCGGCAGGCUUAACACAUGCAAGUCGAGCGAGCGGCGGACGGGUGAUUAAUGUCUUGGAAACUGCCUGAUGGAGGGGGAUAACUACUGGACACUGUAGCUAAUACCGCAUACCAUCAGAUGUGCCCCGAUGGGAUUCGCUAGUAGGUGGGGUAAUGGCUCACCUAGGCGACGAUCCCUAGCUGGUCUGAGAGGAUGACCAGCCACACGGGAACUGGGAAAAGGACCAGACGCCUACGGGAGGCAGCAGUGGGGAAUAUCGCACAAUGGGCGAAAGCCUGAUGCAGCCAUGCCGCGUGUGUGAAGAAGGCCUUCGGGUUGGAAAGCACUUUCAGCGAGGAGGCGUUACUCGCAGAAGAAGCACCGGCUAACUCCGUGCCAGCAGCCGCGGUAAUUC
rnacentral:rRNA from 1 species